rnacentral:rRNA from 1 species
GAUGAACGCUGGCGGCGUGCCUAAUACAUGCAAGUCGAGCGAAUGGAUUAAGAGCUUGCUCUUAUGAAGUUAGCGGCGGACGGGUGAGUAACACGUGGGUAACCUGCCCACAAGACUGGGAUAACUCCGGGAAACCGGGGCUAAUACCGGAUAACAUUUUGAACCGCAUGGUUCGAAAUUGAAAGGCGGCUUCGGCUGUCACUUAUGGAUGGACCCGCGUCGCAUUAGCUAGUUGGUGAGGUAACGGCUCACCAAGGCAACGAUGCGUAGCCGACCUGAGAGGGUGAUCGGCCACACUGGGACUCAGAGACGGCCCAGACUCCUACGGGAGGCAGCAGUAGGGAAUCUUCCGCAAUGGACUAAAGUCUGACGGAGCAACGCCGCGUGAGUGAUGAAGGCUUUCGGGUCGUAAAACUCUGUUGUUAGGGAAGAACAAGUGCUAGUUGAAUAAGCUGGCACCUUGACGGUACCUAACCAGAAAGCCACGGCUAACUACGUGCCAGCCGCCGCAGUAA